UACGAAGGGGGCUAGCGUUGUUCGGAAUCACUGGGCGUAAAGCGCACGUAGGCGGAUUGUUAAGUCGGGGGGUGAAAUCCUGAGGCUCAACCUCAGAACUGCCUUCGAUACUGGCAAUCUCGAGUCCGGAAGAGGUUGGUGGAACAGCUAGUGUAGAGGUGAAAUUCGUAGAUAUUAGCUAGAAACACCAGUGGCGAAGGCGGCCCAACUG
rnacentral:rRNA from 1 species